rnacentral:rRNA from 1 species
AGUGAAUAGAUACCCAGGUAGUCCACGCCCUAAACGAUGAGAACUAGCCGUUGGGCCCCUUUAAGGGUUUAGUGGCGCAGCUAAACGCAUUAAGUUCUCCGCCUGGGGAGUACGGCCGCAAGGUUAAAACUCAAAUGAAUUGACGGGGGCUCGCACAAGCGGUGGAGCAUGUGGUUUAAUUCGAUGCAACGCGAAGAACCUUACCUGGUCUUGACAUCCUGCGAACUUUCUAGAGAUAGAUCGGUGCCUUCGGGAGCGCAGAGACAGGUGCUGCAUGGCUGUCGUCAGCUCGUGUCGUGAGAUGUUGGGUUAAGUCCCGUAACGAGCGCAACCCUUGUCCCUAGUUGCCAUCAUUGAGUUGGGAACUCUAGGGAGACCGCCGGUGAUAAACCCGGAGGAAGGUGGGGACGACGUCAAGUCAUCAUGGCCCUUAUGACCAGGGCUACACACGUGCUACAAUGGUCGGUACAGAGGGCAGCCAAGCCGUGA